UGGAGUUUGAUUCGUGGCUCAGAUUGGACCCUCGCGGCAGGCCUAACACAUGCAAGUCGAACGGUAGCACAGAGGAAGCUUGCUCCUUGGGUGACGAGUGGCGGACGGGUGAGUAAUGUCUGGGAAACUGCCCGAUGGAGGGGGAUAACUACUGGAAACGGUAGCUAAUACCGCAUAACGUCGCAAGACCAAAGAGGGGGACCUUCGGGCCUCUUGCCAUCGGAUGUGCCCAGAUGGGAUUAGCUAGUAGGUGGGGUAACGGCUCACCUAGGCGACGAUCCCUAGCUGGUCUGAGAGGAUGACCAGCCACACUGGAACUGAGACACGGUCCAGACUCCUACGGGAGGCAGCAGUGGGGAAUAUUGCACAAUGGGCGCAAGCCUGAUGCAGCCAUGCCGCGUGUAUGAAGAAGGCCUUCGGGUUGUAAAGUACUUUCAGCGAGGAGGAAGGCGUUGAGGUUAAUAACCUCAGCAAUUGACGUUACUCGCAGAAGAAGCACCGGCUAACUCCGUGCCAGCCGCCGCCGUAACACAACA
rnacentral:rRNA from 1 species